rnacentral:rRNA from 1 species
AGAGUGAACGCUGGCGGCAGGCCUAACACAUGCAAGUCGAGCGGCAGCGCAGCAGUAGCAAUACUGUGGGCGGCGAGCGGCGGACGGGUGAGGAAUACAUCGGAAUCUACCCAGUCGUGGGGGAUAACGUAGGGAAACUUACGCUAAUACCGCAUACGACCUGAGGGUGAAAGCAGGGGAUCGCAAGACCUUGCGCGAUUGGAUGAGCCGAUGUCCGAUUAGCUAGUUGGUGAGGUAAGGCUCACCAAGGCGACGAUCGGUAGCUGGUCUGAGAGGAUGAUCAGCCACACGUGGAACUGAGACACGGUCCAGACUC